rnacentral:rRNA from 1 species
GUAAGGAAUAUUGGACAAUGGACGCAAGUCUGAUCCAGCCAUGCCGCGUGAAGGAUUAAGGUCCUCUGGAUUGUAAACUUCUUUUAUAAGGGACGAAAAAAGGCUUUUCUAAGUCGUCUGACGGUACCUUAUGAAUAAGCACCGGCUAACUCCGUGCCAGCAGCCGCGGUAAUACGGAGGGUGCAAGCGUUAUCCGGAUUCACUGGGUUUAAAGGGUGCGUAGGCGGGCAGGUAAGUCAGUGGUGAAAUCCUAGAGCUUAACUCUAGAACUGCCAUUGAUACUAUCUGUCUUGAAUAUUGUGGAGGUAAGCGGAAUAUGUCAUGUAGCGGUGAAAUGCUUAGAUAUGACAUAGAACACCUAUUGCGAAGGCAGCUUACUACGCAUAUAUUGACGCUGAGGCACGAAAGCGUGGGGAUCAAACAGGAUUAGAUACCCUAGUAGUCC